rnacentral:tRNA from 1 species
GGUGAGGUACCGAAGUGGUCGUAACGGGGCAGUCUUGAAAACUGCUUGCUCCGCAAGGGGCACGUGGGUUCGAAUCCCACCCUCACCG